UCCAAUCGAACCCGGAGAUAGCUGGUUCUCCUCGAAAUAGCUUUAGGGCUAGCCUUGGUAGAGAUUUGCGGAGGUAGAGCACUGAAUUUCCUAGGGGGCGUCAAAGCCUACCGAAGAAUAUCAAACUCCGAAUGCCGUGUAAUUGCUUACCAGGAGUCAGACUGCACGAGAUAAGUUGGGCAGUCAAAAGGGAAAGAGCCCAGACCUUCAGUUAAGGUCCCAAAGUGUGCGUUAAGUGGAAAAGGAUGUGGGAUUUCGAAGACAACCAGGAUGUUGGCUCAGAAGCAGCCAUUCAUUCAAAGAGUGCGUAAUAGCUCACUGGUCGAGAGGUCCUGCGCCGAAAAUGUCCGGGGCUGAAACGCGCCACCGAAACUAAGGAACCGAAAGGUUGGUAGAGGAGCAUUGCAUGCGGGAAGAAGCAGUACCGUAAGGAGCUGUGGACUGCAUGGAAGAGAGAAUGCCGGAAUGAGUAGCGAGAUAGAGGUGAGAAUCCUCUAGGCCGAAUAUCCAAGGUUUCCAGGGUAAAGCUGAUCUGCCCUGGGUAAGUCGGGGCCUAAGGUGAGGACGAGAGUCGUAGCCGAUGGACAACAGGUGGAGAUUCCUGUACUAUGAUAUGACAGAACUGUGGGGACACGUGCAGAGAGCGGAAGCCGGGAAUGGGAUCCCGGUGCAAGCGAGGUACCAGUCACAUUGGAAAAACCGUGUGGCAAUGGGAAGACGUGAUGCGGAGUGAAGUUUAGUAAUGAAGUCCGUGAGCUGUGCGUCAAGAAAAGCCGCUAUUGUUCAUACCAUACCCGUACCGUAAACCGACACAGGUGGAUGAGGAGAGAAUCCUAAGGCCGGCGGAAGAAGCAUUGUCAAGGAACUCGGCAAAAUGACCCCGUAACUUCGGGAGAAGGGGUGCCUGCGAGAGCAGGCCGCAGAGAAUAGGCUCAAGCAACUGUUUAGCAAAAACACAGGUCUAUGCGAAACCGAAAGGUGAGGUAUAUGGGCUGACGCCUGCCCGGUGCUGGAAGGUUAAGAGGAGAGGUUAGCGCAAGCGAAGCUUUGAAUUUAAGCCCCAGUAAACGGCGGCCGUAACUAUAACGGUCCUAAGGUAGCGAAAUUCCUUGUCGGGUAAG
rnacentral:rRNA from 1 species